AAAACUUCAAAAUAUCUUAUAUAUUUUAUAUAUAUUUUGAAUAUUAAAUUUAAAAAUAACUAAUAUAUUGAAUUAUAAAUUUAAUGCGGAUAUAUUCAGAUACCAAAAUAUUUCGGUUCGGAUCAGAUUCGGUUCUAGUUCUUUAGUUAUCAAAAUUUUGAACCUUUUCGUAUAUUUAACCAAUUUUGGCGGUUCGAUACUACUUUCCGAAUCGGAUUCGGUUCUUCGAAUUCUGAUUUUUUUCACAACCCUAACUAAAGUAGUUUGAUAGCUAUUUAAAUGCGUGUGGAUGAGUAAUGCUAUUAAACGAGUAAGAAUGUCGAUAACAACAUAGACAUCAUUCUCUUUUUCUCAGGGGAGAUAUCUGUUAAUUCUCGCCGUUAAAUGACAAUUCACAAAUUACGAGUCCAUCCAUCUCUUACCUUCUUGAGAACAUGUGAGGCCUUACCCUUUUUUUUUCUUUUUUUUUUUUGUCACAAAGUGAGGCCUUACCCAUUUUCACGCUUUCAGGUAUUCAAAGCUGAGGUUAUGAGUGAUAGCCAUCUGAGUAAGUCUUAAGACAAUCUUCCAAAAACUUCUUACUACUCUUAAAACUCUUCUCUUUAUAAUCUUCCCUCCAAUUCUUUUCAUGUUCGUUAGGUUGCUAUAGCGUUUUACGUACCUACCAGGGUCAAUCAUUGAUAUUUUUCACUUUCUGGCUCUCGGGAUUCUCUUUGAAAUAUGCGAUGCAAAACUUAUAGAAUUCUUCGGUGUCUAACGGCAACGGGCUUCUAAUUAAAUUGGAAAUAUACUUGCAUUUUUUUUUUUGAAUAAUAGAAGCUGCCUCUUUGUUGGCUGUUAAACCACUGAAGAUAAGAACAGGGGCGGAUCUAGGAUCAAAUAUAAUUGGGGGUACAUACAAAAAUUUUCACUAUACAUAUUUUUUUUUAACUGGGGGCACUUGUUCCAAAAUAAAGCUAAUCGUUAAAGAAAUACAAAAGUAGAUGGGGGCAUCCUCUCUCCAGAACGAACACAACGAGGUAAAUCAACAACAUUGUGUAUUGUUUGAAGAGUUAUAUACGGUCACUAAUGAUCGAAUUUAUAAGCAAACAAAACCUAUUUGUCUGCAUUUUUUUUUUGAAACUUUUCAUGUUCUAUAUUUUUCUUCAAAUAUUUUCGAAUCAGAGAAUCUGACACUCUGUUGGCCAUGAAACGGUUAAAGAGGAGAAACAACACAACACAUGCCUUCUUUUAGAUGGCUCAUUCAUGUCAUGCGUUACCACUCC
rnacentral:lncRNA from 1 species